rnacentral:lncRNA from 1 species
UUUGCUGUCGGUUUUGAAAAGAUUCAAGACCGACCAAUAGAAAUACAUUCGACUGCUAUUCGCGUACCUCAAACGCAUUAAAAGUUUGAACUAAUCAUUUUCUUCGUCUAUCCGUAGUUCCUUCUCCUCCAACGGUAAUCUCUCUCCUUCUAUACUGAUAUUUCAUUUUCCGAUUUGCCUAGCAACGCUACAGGUUUGAUUCCAUCUUUAUCGCUCGUUCAUGUCUCUGUAUCUUUUGUCUUGAACAAAUUUUCUAUUUGCGCUAGAUUUUCCCCCUUCUUCCUAUCUACUUUUUCUUUCUUAUGUAUUUUAGAUCUGAUUGUUUCAAAAUUUUGUUUAUAUUUGUUAAUUAUUUCUCUGAUUGAAUUUUAUGGUGAUGUUUGUGUUGAAGAUGACGUGGCGAAUUGAAUGCUGCAAGUGUUUUUGUUUCCAAAAUUUGAUUUAUAACGAUAAACUAAGUUGAGCAUCUUUAUGUUCUAACAAUUAUUCCCGAUUCAUAUUUUUACAUGUUUUUGCCUUCGUAUUGGGCACUUCAAUUAGGGAACGGAUACUUCCACAACAUUUUUGAAAUUUCGCAUGUGGGGCCCACCUUUUAACUAUUCUACCUUUGUUCUUAAAAUAUUAUCGUUUUAGAAAAAAAAUUUGUUCCAAAAUGUUUGUCAUUUACAACUUUCGGGGAGAAUAAAUUAUUUUAUUUUCCUAUAUUAUCCCUAUCUUGUAUUAAUAGUUUUCAACUUCCGCUAUUAAUAGUUUUGAACUUCCGGGUAGUGAUGAAAUUUCAAAAAAAUUUUACUCGGUAAAUGAUAUUUUCUUAAUCUAUGUGCAAAAACCUUAAGCGACAAUCUUUUAGGAAAGGAGGUAGUAGUUUGGUUAAAAAAUAAGUCCCACAUGCGUUUAUAUAAAAAGUGUUGUGAGAAUAUGAACUCCAACACUUUUUCGAUAUUUUUUUAACCAAAUAUUUUAUAUAAAAAGUGUUGUGAGAAUAUGAACUCCAACACUUUUUUGAUAUUUUUUAAGCAAAUAUUAAUAUUAGUUUGGUUAAAAGAUGGCCCUGUAUGCGGAAAUAGAAGUAUCAAUUCCCUUCAAUUAUUCUCCCAAUAAAUUCUAGGUUUCUUAUUAUGGAGUAUUGUUUUAUGGGGGGUAAGUGAAAUUGUACCAGGAAGUACUAGAAAUAAAAAUCUUCUAUGCACAAUUGUCAUGAGACUCCCCCUAGUUCAUAUACCUGAUUUAAUUCUGUACAAGAAACAACCAGCUGUUUGAUUCCACCACGUGAGGUAGAACGAUCAAUUAAUAACGUCAAGGGAUCAAUUUGUAAUGCAAUUUUUUUGCUGUCCUUUUGUUAUGUAAAUAGUCAUAAUAUGUCAACCGUAAAUAGCUAGUAGUGGGAAAAUGGAGGGUUGAGACUUGAGAUUAGAUUGGUUCUUAUAAGAUGAAUGACUAGGAUUUAAAGUAGAAUGAAGCCUAUACAUGGCUAAGUAUUUUCUGAGGAUGGGAUAUCAAUGAAUUAACCAAGUUGACUAUAUCUGCUUUUUAGAUUUCUUCUUCUUUCACUAUUUUUUUGGAGUUAUUGCGAGAGACUCAAAUAACUUGCUACAAUGGUGCUUUCAUUGAGAGACUUUAUGGUUGAAUUCCAUGAAAUAUCUGUUAAACAACUGGAAGAAGCUAGUGAUUUCUUGGAUCAUAUGUGGGCUACAAAAAAAGAAACUAACGAGUGCUAAGAGCAAUAGAGAUUCGAGAAUAUGAGUUAAAGCACAAGCACAAUAAAUUUGUGAUGAAUUACUUCGUGUAUCAUCAACUGAAUUUGAGAAUUCAUUCUUGGAACUUAAAAGGUGGGCAGAGGUUAGAAAUGAAUAGUGUUUUAAAAGUUUCUAGGCGGCGGAGGUGGCGCCUAGCAGCUAUACACCUAGGCCGCCUAGGCAGUGCCUAGACGUUUUUUAGGCGAUUUCAUUUAUUUAUUUAUCGAUUGUAUAUACUUGGUAUACUAUCCAAAUUAUAUAGGAGAUGCAAUUUAUUUCAAUUUUACAUGAAUUACCAAAAAAAGCAAUCUUUUAAUGUUUAAAAAAUUCAUUUUAAGUAUUGUAGAGUUUCAAAGUAGAGACCUGAUUUUGCCUAAGCGGGGCCUAGGCGCCCAGCCAAAUCGAGGCGGUAGAAGACCGCCUAACACCUACACAGGGAUUAAUUGGACUUAGGCGGAGAUUUUUAAAAUAGUAGAACGAAGAGAAAUUUUCUGAUCAAUGGGUUUUGAGCAUCUUUCUUAAAGGAUUGAAUGACGAUUCACAAAAUAUGUUGUGGUCUCCAGAAUCCUUGCAAAGGGCCAUUGUUUUGACAAAAUGGCAAGAUUUAUGCCUUGAAGAUAAGAUGUUUGGCAAAGGUACUGACGAGAACUGGAUACUAACAAGGAAUUUUUUGAAAAAGAAUUGUCGACUGCGGUCAAUUGAAGGGUAGUCGAGUCAAUUAGCUCUACUUGUGCUAGAGGAUUCAACAAUUGGCAUUGUGGAAUUGAUAAAUGCUAGUCAAGCAAAUAAAAUUGUUAAGGAUGCAAAUUACAAGGACAUAAUAGAAUGCUCAUAUGCCCCUGCUAAGGAAUACAUUGUCAAGCUUAGCCCAAAACCACCAGAUGAGUAUUCUACUCCAAGGUCAAUGGACAGGUCUUUGACGGGAUUAGACAUAUCAAGUGAUGAAGUGGGAAACUCCUAUAAUCAAGACACAACAGGGGAAGCAAAAUUUUAGGUAUUCGGGAAAAUGUCACAGAUUUGUUAGGUGAUUGCAAAUGUGAUAAAAAAAAAUCAUGUUUGAAUCUAAAACAUUUGGGAGGGGUACACGUUAAUGUUAUUAACUCCAAUCUGAAUUUAAUUGAUGGAUUUGAAGAUGUUUGUUUGGAUAUAGGGAUAAAUACAUCUAUCACGCAUGUUGCGACUCCUUGUGAGGGAAAUAAAGUAGGUGCGUGUGAUGAAGAUUUUUUGACCAUAUCUGUUGAUAUAAAAAGUCAAACUGGGAGUCUUUAUAAAAAUUGUGUUUCCACCACAAAGUAUGUAUUGCCUCAUGCUUUUCCUCAUCCUCCUUCUAAAGGCUAUUUUAUGAUUUUCCACCCAAAUAUUGCAACCAAUGUUUUGAAUAAGCAGGCUGGAAAAUUGCUGGUUAAAAAAUCAUGAUGAAUAUGCUCGACGUGCAACGCUCUAGACAAAAAUUUAUACUCUGGAGCCAAUGCCCAAGCGUAAAUUAGGAAUAUAUUUUUGAGUAAAUCACUACUCUAAAUGUUGACCAGAUGAACACCUUAGUUCUUGGUGUUCAUCACAGGGAUGCUUUAACAGGUGCUGCAUUUUAUUGCUAAAGCUUAAUCCGACUUUGAUUUAGUGGUGAUUGUAAAGCUACCCAAAAGGUAAUUUGACCUGUUUCUAGAUGAAUUAGGGUUCUUUUAUUACCUUAUAUGAGGAGGGGAUCCUUAAUUUUCAAUACGCACGAAAAUGCACGAAAUUUUAACAUGGUGAGGCUGAUUUGCUGCAGAUCGUGGACUAGCCCAACCUUUGGGCGAACCAUUUAAAUUAUGUGUCUUGCGUGUGAUUGUUUUUUUUGGGUAUCUUCUUACUAUUGUUUUCGCUGCGUUGUUAUUCUCUAACACUACAUUGUCGUCUCUAUUGGCCCUUUCUUCAAAUAUUGUGAUGAUGUUUCAGGUUGAGAAUCUUGCAUAAUUUAAGGAGUUUUACAGUUACUUGGAAAAAGCAUUGGGAUAUAUUUUUUAUGAGCUUUUAGAUCCUUCUCACUCAAAAAUCUUUGUCGCGCUAGACUUGUAUAGUUCCACCACUUUUAGCAAUGACAAGAGGGGAAUGCAGUUUCAGUACGAUACAGAUUCAAUGGAUAUUGCAGAUAUUUUCCUCAGUUUACAUAGCUCGGAAGGAUAUUCAAGUGCAAAUUUUGGCCGUCACUUCAUUUUUUUUUUGCUAGUUUAGGCAAAAUUUAACAUUUAUGCCUUUGGCAGGGAUGGAUCCCAAGACCUUCUGAUGCUCAAGAAGUGGACUUAACCACUGUACCAAAGGAGGCUUGGUUGGCCAUCACUUCAUUAAGAUCUAUUAGGGAGCAGAGUUGAGCUAUGGUGCAUAUGGUAUGUUUUGGGCCAUGAAAUUGCUGGAACAUGAGAAGUAUAAUGAAGCUACUGGUGAUGGGUUGCAAUGUGCAAAUUCUUAAGAUUUAGUUUUGAUCCAGGGACUAUUAUUGCUAACAACUGGUGGAAAGCCCAUAAACGCUCUUAACUUCCACCUUGAGAACAAGGUAAAUUUUGAAGGGGUCUGUAGUGUUUUUCUAUCAAUGAAAGCACCAUUAUAGCAAGAUAUUCAACUCUUUUGGAGUUAUUCUUGCAAUAACUCCAGCAAAACAGUGAGAGAAGAAGAAAUCUAUAGAGAAGAUAUAGCCAACUAGGUUAAUUGUUGAUAUCUCAUUCUCAGUAAAUACUUAGCCAUAUACAUGUUUCAUUCUACAUUAAAUCCUAGCCAUUCAUCUCAUAAAAACCAAUCUAAUCUCGGCCCUCCAUUUUCCCACUGUAGGUAUUUACAAUUGACAUAUUAUCUGUAACAUCCUUUAUCAUCAAUAAUUUGUUCUUUUUUCAUUUUGGAACUUUGUCCUUGGUGUUGUACUAGUUAAUUAGCUACUUGGGAUGUGAGUAGAUGGAUUUGUUCACAAAUUGUGGCAUUCUGGUUUGGACUGUAAACCAACUAAUGGAAGAAUAGUACAACCAUAGUUACGAACUCUUGUUGACCUAGCGAAUCGCGUAUUGGUACUUAUGGAUCCAAACAUACUUCUAUGUCCCAAUAAUCUAAAUUUAGUGUAUGACACUCUUUUAUCUCUUUCGCGAACCAAUUUGCAAUUAAGGUAAAACAUUUCGAUUCAAAAAAUAAGUAUAUACCCCCACAUACUAAAGUACCCCCAUGUACCGCGUACCAGGUAAGUUAACUUACCGUGCACCAGAUAAGUUUACAUACUGCAUCGUUGUAUCCGUUCCACCUACUUUAAUGCACUACGAACUUGGCAAAAACCAAGUUUAACAAUGCUGAAGAAUUAAAAUGGGAAUUAGGAGCUUUUGUGCGUUGAGUAGCAACUCUACUAAAGGUUACAUUUUGUUGGAAUUUUUUUGAUUGUAUCCACUCAUAAAGUAGUGUUAUUUGUAUGUGGUCAUGAUGAUAUAUCAUAGGCUGUAGUACAGCCGCUGAGUAUAUGAUUUGUGAUCUUUUACAAGUUUCGGUUUUACGUUGCUUAUAUAUUUACUGGAAAAGAAAUUAUUUGCUUUCAAUUUGAAAUAUUCUAUUUGUGAUGCAUGGUUGAAAGCAUUUUUCAGUUUCAUCUAAGCUUGGAAAUGGAUUAAAUAUGUUGUGUAUUUAUUUGAAAAUCUCUUUUUUAUCAUGCUUCUGUGUAUGGAGUGAGUUGGUGUAAUUUCUCUGACGUGUAAAUUAGUACUUGACUGAGUAGGAUUGGUCUAUCACUUGUGUCUGCUAUUGGCUGCAUAGGCUAUCCUUAAAUGGCGACUUUGUUUCAUAGUUGGCUGAAAAUGAGAAUACAUAAGCACUAGAUGGUUUCUGACAAAAGGGGUGCUUAUAUAUUAAUUAAUUGGGUUAUUUGUAUAUACACAGCUGUGUAGUACACAGUCAUGCUACGACGACGGUUUUUUUGGACUAUAGCGACGGUUCAACCAUCGCUAUAGGCCAGAAUAUCUAUGGCGACGAUUCAACCGUCGUCAUAGUCCAUAAAAACCGUCGUCAUAGGCGUCUGUAUACUACACAUCUGUGUAUAUGCAUUUUUCCUAGUUAAUUUUGUUUUAUUAACUAUUAAUCUAUUAUGCAAAUUUUGUUUAACAAUCGGAAAGCCCCCUUCUUUCAUGGGAACGACCUGGUUGUCAUAAUUGUGAUUUUGUAAUAUUAUUUGUGAAUAAUUAGUUAUUGAUUUAUAUGAUAAGUAAAUAUUUAUUUUAUGUGGAUAUAAAUGAAAGAAUUAAUGCUGAGGAGUUUUAUCAGUAUUUUGUCAGAAUGGAGGUAUUAAAAAUCGUCUGUAUGUGGAUUUCAGUCAUUUUUCGUUUAGAAUUUGGAAAAACUUAAAUCUACAAAGUUGUAGAGAAUUUAAUUUUCUAUGGAAUGGUCAUAAAAUUCGUAUUUUCUAAUAAAGGGGUUAUUUGAUUUUCCAGAUUUUAGGAAAGGCUUUUACAUUUUAUGGCUAUCAGAGCAUUAUGUGAAGAGUCAUCAUUGGAACUGGCCAGGGAGUUGCUUAUCGCCAUCUCUAACUCUGUACCAGAUAAAAUUCUUGAUUCCAUUACAUUUGAAAUAUUAAGCAGCAGGGACGAAGCUGUCCUGAAUAACACUGACAGAACUGACGAUUUCAGGUCCAAGCUGAUUUCAAUUUCUAAUAUCCAGUCUUCAGAUUUUAGCGUGACCAGGUGCAAUGGGAACCCAUGAGGUUGGGUUGUGAUAAUAUGCUUGUUAUGGGAGAUUCUUAUCCGUAACUGUUUAAUAUGUUGUAGAACUCCCUACUAUAUGUGUGAGUCUGUUUCUGCCAGUUUGUUCUGUGUUCUGUUCUUAUGGUGAUGUCAACAUACAAGGAGCUAUUUGUCCGAAAACUUGUACAAAUGUAUGAUUUGAACAUUCUUAUGAAAUCUCUUUUCCGGGAAUUUAAAGUAAAUGCUUGUUUGAUUAUUCCAGUUUCAUAUAUUUAUGUGGA